CAGCUCCUGAAAAAACGUGAAGCAGCUGUCCUGGGGCUACCUGUCUGCAGUGCGCCCUCACAGAGUCUAUGGGGUCCACAACCAAGGCAACAUGGAGACAGCCCAGCGGCCUCAGCAGCCAGCCCGGCCCCACUGGAGAAAUGUGCUAUCGACACACUUUCCAUGGAAGUGCAAGGAGCACCACCUCUACUGAGGUGGUCUCGGUGCUUGGUGGAAGGUGCUAUGGGGCAGCUGGUGAAGCCACACGAGGGGACAGGUGAGGCUGCUGGGCCUUAUCUUCACCAGCACCACGGCUAGGACACUUCAACUGAGGUGCUGAGAGGCCACUGUGGGCUUCUGAGGAACCUCCUACAGGCAACUCGCCGAUGCUGGUCCUACACAGGUAUGUUCUGGAGCCCAGGCUGCUUGGCUUCCUGUGCCCAUAGCAUGGCCAUUUCUUAGCCCAACUGGACGUAACCUGAGUGCCUAGAAACCUACGUAUCCCAUCACGCCCUCUUGGCUAGCCCAAAUUCUGUAAGACCAGGAGAUAAAAUUCUCUGUCAUUUAAACAUAAACACAGCCACGUCCACAGUAA